ensembl:lncRNA
UUCGAGCGUGGAGCGACCCUGAGAAUCGCAGUCGGUUUCCGCGGAGAAGAGCUACUGGUUACCGCACUUCCAAGUACGUGAGCAAGGUCGGACUCUAUUAGGAUGGAAAGGGCAAGGGCAGCUGGGGAAGAGGUCUGCUCGCAGGGCCGGGUUGCGGCGCUCCCGACUCCGGGCCUCUGGUCCCGCCAGGGGGCUGCACUGAAGCUGGGCCUCGGCCACGAAGGCGAAGCCGGAGACGGCCGUGUCCCUCCGCUCAGGGCCUCGGGACCGGCCCCGGGCAGCACCGGCGGGAAAGGCCGCCGGGAAGUGCUGCAGCCCCACCCUCCGUCCAGGCGGACCCAGGCCGCGGCGGAUGGGGCGACGAGAGAGGUCCCGCAGGGCAGCGGCAGGCGCGGUUCCGGGCUUCCGGCCUGGGGGCUUCCGGCCUCCGCGAUUCCGGCCUCCGGGCGUCGUCGCUCCGCAGAGGGCGCCCUAAGGUCACCGGCAGGGCCAGGCGUGGCCGGGCCGCUUCUGCGGAGCCAACCCGGCUCAGCCUCCCGCUGCUGGAUCCGAGUCCGGGCCCGCCCUUCCUCCGCAAGCCUUCCUGGCCAUGUCAGCCUCACGGGCCAAAAACCGGAUACUGGAACGAAAGACAAGACUUAAGAGAGGAUGAGAAAGAUAAAUUCUGAACAACAAAACCAAGCAAGGAGCCAGGCAAGAACAGCGACUGCGAUGGGCCAAGCUUCUGAAAUAAAGAACAAACUUACCAGCUGGAGUUUGAAGAACUGAGAAAAGAGCUUCUUCUCGUCCGCCCUCUUGGUGUUACAGGGGAAAGCAGGUGGCGGAGGUGCGGCUCCUUUUCUCCAGGCUGACGCUGCCGCCGCAUGUUUACGGAGCAUGCUGUCCGAUCUCUAGCCUCGGGGUGUCUUCCCGUUCCUGCCUCAGCCCCUUUCUGCAUCAAAGUGCCCCCAUGUCAUCUUCUCCCUAGAGCGCCCCAACCUAAAUCUGAAGAAAACCACAAUGCUUUUCAGUUUGACUCGCACGAGGCGGCCAGUGCAACGGAGCAGCAUCAACUCGCCCCCCUUCCCGCCCGCAGCGUCACUCCAGACCCAGACCUCUGCCUGCAGCGUCCACAGCCUCUGUCUUCCCGUCGUCCUUAGCCUCAGCUUUGCGCCCUCAGGGCCUCCCGAGGUGCCGAGAUCCUGUGAGGAGCCGGACAAGGAAGUGUCGCUGCCCAGGGCCACGUGACAGAACGGGUGCAUGACACGGGGUCUCAGAGAGCAGCAACUGAAACCAGGCGGCGACCCCAGCUACCUGGUCCGGAACCCGGACCGGCCAGUCAGGCGCCGCUGCAGCGGGACCAGGCUGCUUCUGCCUUGCUUUCUAGCUUAUGGUAUACGGUUUAGCAUCUUUACAGAAAACAAGUUCAAUGAUUAGUGGAAAUUUUCUUAAAAAACAGUGUUUGAAAAUAUCAUGGAAUAAACAGAUGUGAAUUUUAGUUAUAAAGUUUACUGGCUGACAGUUAAGUAAGCAGCCAUCAUACUACCUGCCACUGAUUAGCUGUUACUCUCGGAGUGCGUUCUGACACACUCACCAGCUACAAGGCCAGGUGGCUUCAUGCUUCCCAGAAUGGCAAUUUCCCAGCCUACCACACC